rnacentral:rRNA from 7 species
AAAUUGAAGAGUUUGAUCAUGGCUCAGAUUGAACGCUGGCGGCAGGCCUAACACAUGCAAGUCGAACGGUAACAGGAAGCAGCUUGCUGCUUUGCUGACGAGUGGCGGACGGGUGAGUAAUGUCUGGGAAACUGCCUGAUGGAGGGGGAUAACUACUGGAAACGGUGGCUAAUACCGCAUAACGUCGCAAGACCAAAGAGGGGGACCUUCGGGCCUCUUGCCAUCA